rnacentral:pre_miRNA from 1 species
UGGCUACUCCCUCCGUUCGGAAUUACUUGUCUCGGAAAUGGAUGUAUCUAGAACUAAAAUACGUCAAGAUACAUCCACUUCUACGACAAGUAAUUCCGAAUGGAGGGAGUAUACU